CCGGGAGCCCGGCAUCGUGCGCAGCGCUUUGAGGACUUCCUAAAGCCAGUCCAGGAGCACAGUUUUUACCUGUUCAGUGGCACAUAUCUGUGAUUGAAACUCUUGUUUUUGCAUCUUUAACCACUGAAGGAAGAAUGCAGCAGACUGCUCGACAAACACUGCGCCAAGAGCUCCUCAGCAGAAGCUCCUCGCAUCAGAUCCUCUGUGCUGGGAAUCCUCCCCUCUUGAGCACACUCUGUGCUCCUCUUCCAGUUACGGUGCAUGUGAAGCAAUGGUAUGGGAAAAUUGUUUGCAGAAGGAUGAAAAGGCUUUAUUCCCAAACUGUAAGUACAUGAUUUGAAAUGUUUAUGGUCAAGAGAAAAUAUUUCUACAGCAUCAUGUAAAGCAUGUAGAUACAUUUGCACAUGUGCAUUAACAUGUAAGAACGUGUGCCUCAGACACAUGUGCCCUCCUGGGACAGCUCAUGCUGGCCCCAUGCCUGCUUCCAAGCUUCCAUCAAGUCAGGGAGUGGAGCAAAGAGGGAAGGCAGCCCCUGUACUGUAGGGACCCUUAUGCACAGAGGCAUUGAGACUGCCUGUUCCUCUUGGAAGCUUCUGCUCUCAAGAGGCAGCUAGGUUUUUGGAGCUUCUCUGCUUCAUGUCUUGCUUCCCACCCUAGGGUUCCAGAUUCUGUUCUUCCCUAGUAUUGGCAAGGUUUUUUAUAGAUAGCUCUUGGAUAUAUUUGGAAGUAAUGUUUACAAAUGGUGAGAGAGAAGGCAUCUGACAUUCUUUUCUAAACACAUGCCAAUAUUUGUCUUUUCCCCACUAAUUUCAAUAAUUUGGCCUAACACUUUUGUCACAUAUUCUGACUCUUUAUUCUGAUCCAUUUAUCUACUCUGGCAUCCCCACAUGGUUUUAAGUACUGGAGCUUUACUGUAUGUCUUGGUAUCAGGCCAAGCAAACCUUGUUAGUCUUAUUUAAAACUUUCUCAGCAAUUGGUGCAUAUUUUUUUAUCCUGAUGAAUUUUAGAACUUACCAGUACCAGUACUGACAUCUUCACAGCAUUGUAUCCUGUCAACAACCUAGUCUGAACCUCAGUGGUUCAGGUUUCCUUUGCACAUACAGGCCCUGAGAACUCAUAUGUUAAUGACAAAGACAUUCCGGGAAACCAGGAGGUGAGGAGACCAAGGAUUAGGCUCCACUCCUAUUAUGAAGAUGAACAGUUUUUAGAGUAUCAUGGAGUUGGAGAAGGUACUUCAAGGAUCUCUAUGGGGAACAAGAAGGAACAGCAAAGUUCCAUCAUCCUAUGCCCUUUCUGUUCAGGUUUAUUGUUGUGAAUGAGAAUUUUUUUUUUUUAACAUGUUGUGGAUCUAUCUAUCUGAUCACCUUAUUGAACUGAGAAUGGUUCUAUGGACUUGACUUUUCUUGGACUGACAACUGUACUGUCUGGAAAUGACAGUUUCUCCUUCCUUUCAGUAUUUGUGCCUGUCUAUCCCACAUCCCUGUACUGGUCAGGAUUUCCAGGACAAUAGUGAAUAACAGUCGGGACAACAGGCUGGUUCUGAUUCCACUGUUCCUAACAUUCUACCAAGAAGCAUGUUUUUUUUCUAUUUUGGUAGUUUUAUGUUAGGUAGCCUUAUCAAGUUAGGACUUUUUUUUUUUUUUUUUACCCAAGCUAAAGAAAGUACCCAAAAUAAAGAAAUUUUAUCAGGAACAGGUAUAAAUUUUAAGAAACGUAUUUCAACGCCUGCUAAAAUUACCACUUAUUUUUCUAUUAUGGCAACAAAUUACAUUAAUAGAUUUUCACUGUUAUUGUUUAUCCUGGGAGAAAGCAUACUUGUGAACUUUUUUAGGUACUGUGCUUUGGAACCAAAUUUGGAAGUGAGAUGAAAUGUCAGCUGUACUCUCCUGGUUAGGUAUGAUUUCAGGGUCAGGUAUGCCUGAUAAAUGAGGUGAGAUGCUUGUAACUUUGUUCUAGAAUAGUUUCUACUGCAUGGGAAUGAUCUGUUCCUUGAGGAUUUGUCACAGUCUGCCCACAGUGGACUGGAUUUGGCAUGUAGGAUGUUAAUUUCUAUUUACUUUGCAAGAAAAAUACAGUUUAGCAAGCAACAGAAACAUACUGAACAUGAACCUCACCGUCCCUCUCUCAGCUGUAGCUCCUUCUGCGUCUGCAACCUGGCUUGUUCCCACGACAAAGGAACAUCAUAUUUUUUCAAAUCGUUUUUAAAGAAAUACACACAUAUCUGACCAUCUUCACUCAGCGCCUCUGAGAAAACAGUACAAAAACAGAUAAAGAGGCCAGCCUGGCCAACCCUGUCUCAAAAAAAAAAAA
rnacentral:antisense_RNA from 1 species